CUGUGAGGGGCAAGUUGAGCACUCAGUUCCAUGUUUAAGACUCAUUAAUAUUCUCUUAACAGAAACAAAAUAAACAGUGACAAGGAUUGUGGAAUGCCUGCUCAGUUUCCUCAGGACAAAAGAAAGAGAGGAUAUUGUGAAUGUUGUGGGAAGAAAUAUGAAGAUCUGCAAACACAUCUUGAAAGUGAGCGGCACCAAAAUUUUGCACAAAGCACACAGUAUAAAGUUGUUGAUGAUAUAAUCUCAAAGUUAGUUUAUGAGUUUGUUGCAUACAAAGAUGAUGAUACAGGAAAAAUAAAAGGG